GAACCUUUAAAUGUAGAUUUUAAAGAAAUUAGAUUAUAGCAAUUAUAAUUUAUUCAUGGUUUAAAUAGCAUGCAUGUACAGUAGCUGCGAAUAUCAAAGAAUAUAUUAUGGGCAAAUUAGCAAAGAAAACCACUUGAGAUUUGGCAUGAUAUGAUGAUACACACUUCAGCUCCUCCUUUUGGUCAAAGAGCUUUUCCUUUUAUGGAACACAUGUUUUUAUCAAAAUGAUGUCUCCAGAUUUUGAGCUAUAAAAGGAUCAAAAGGUUGAUUUUAUAAAAUUCAGGAACCAAAUUUUUUUAUUUUGAAAGAGGAACAAAGUGCAUAUUAGACCCAAUCUAAGGGUUUUUUCUCCCCCUACAAUAUGCAGCAUUCAAAAAUAUGCUGAUGGGGAGAACAAUCACCUGAACAAUUCUGG
rnacentral:misc_RNA from 1 species